rnacentral:lncRNA from 1 species
AAAUUAUUUAACCAAUUUCAAGUUUUUGACUACAUUUAUUUUUUGUAAAAUAUUUAAUUAAAAUCCAAAUUCAGACCUGCAUCAAGCUUGAAUAUUGUGUCCAUUUUUGACCUUACUGUUCAGCAUUGGACAUCUGCAGACAUAUCUAGCUGCACUAGGCAAGGCACAUUUUUAGCCAAUGGUAUUUAGAUAAGAAAUACUUUACAGCAGGA